UACAGAGGUCCCAAGCGUUGUUCGGAUUCAUUGGGCGUAAAGGGUGCGUAGGUGGCGGGGUAAGUUGGAUGUGAAAUCCUGGGGCUCAACCCUAGAACUGCAUUCAAUACUGCCUUGCUGGAGUACUGGAGAGGAGAUUGGAAUUUACGGUGUAGCAGUGAAAUGCGUAGAUAUCGUAAGGAAGACCGGUGGCGAAGGCGGAUCUCUGGACAGUCCUGACGCUGAGGCACGAAGGCCAGGGGAGCAAACGGG
rnacentral:rRNA from 1 species